rnacentral:rRNA from 1 species
AACAAACGCUGGCGGCGUGCCUAAUACAUGCAAGUCGAACGGGGAAAGCUUUCGGGUGAGUACUAGUGGCGCACGGGUGAGUAACGCGUGGAUAAUCUGCCCUCGAAUGGGGAAUAACUAGUCGAAAGAUUAGCUAAUACCGCAUAAGACCACGACUACUGAGGUAGUUGGGGUCAAAGGAGCAAUUCGUUUGAGGAUGAGUCCGCGUAAGAUUAGCUAGUUGGUGAGGUAAUGGCUCACCAAGGCGAUGAUCUUUAACUGGUCUGAGAGGAUGAUCAGUCACACUGGAACUGAGACACGGUCCAGACUCCUACGGGAGGCAGCAGUAGGGAAUAUUGGACAAUGGGGGCAACCCUGAUCCAGCGACGCCGCGUGAGCGAUGAAGGCCUUUGGGUUGUAAAGCUCUGUUGUAAGGGAAAAAGUUCUGAUUGUACCUUACGAGAAAGGAUCGGCUAACUUCGUGCCAGCAGCCGCGGUAA